rnacentral:tRNA from 1 species
GGCGCGGUGGCUGAGUGGUAAAGCCCUUGACUUCCGAACCAAGGGUCCUGGGUUCGAAUCCUGGUGAAGCCU